GACGAACGCUGGCGGCGUGCUUAACACAUGCCAGUCGAACGGGCCUUGUCCCCUUUUUUUUUGGGGGUGGGGUUAGUGGCGAACGGGUGAGUAACACGUGAGUAACCUGCCCCUCACUUCUGGAUAACCGCUUGAAAGGGUGGCUAAUACGGGGUGUUCUGGCCUGCUCGCAUGGGUGGGUUUGGAAAGAUUCGACCGGUUUUGGUUGUUUUGGUGGGGGAUGGGCUCGCGGCCUAUCAACUUGUUGGUGGGGUGAUGGCCUGCCAAGGCUUUGACGGGUAGCCGGCCUGAGAGGGUGGGCGGUCACACUGGGACUGAGACACGGCCCAGACUCCUACGGGAGGCAGCAGUGGGGAAUAUUGCACAAUGGGCGCAAGCCUGAUGCAGCGACGCCGCGUGAGGGAUGGAGGCCUUCGGGUUGUGAACCUCUUUCGCCAGUGAAGAAGGUCCUGCUCUUUGUGGUGGGGUUGACGGUAGCGGGGUUAAUGAAGCGCCGGCUAACUACGUG
rnacentral:rRNA from 1 species